UUAAAAUUAAAAUAGGGGGUGAAAAUAUAAAAUUCACAUCAAUUUUUAAAAUUUUUAUCUCAAACUCACCUAAAAAAACUAAAUACUACCUGAAGAAAUGUGUUCCAAAAUCGAUAUGCUGAAAAAUGAAAAAUGGAAAAGUGGAAAAAGCUGGAGAGACAAAGCGCCACAGCAAUAGACAUCAGAGAAUCGAUUCACCUGUCGUUCUUGACCUCCUGCCCUAUAAACGACAUGCGCUUUACUCCGUAAGCCCAAAACAAAAAAACAACCAUGAUGCUCCCCCACUCUCCAAGCGCGUGGGACCACGCUAACGUGACGCAACCAAGAAGAAAGUGUACUCCACGCGCGCGUGAAAAUAAAUUACCG
rnacentral:lncRNA from 1 species